rnacentral:sRNA from 12 species
CCCUGACAGUCGCAUGGGGCGACUGACUCAACCCAAGACAGGAGAUACACAUG